rnacentral:lncRNA from 1 species
UAAUCUGCUUUUAUUUUUCUAAAAUGAUUUUGCAUAAACUUGUGACUAUAGCCGUGCCUGCGACCAAUUGUGAAGAUUCUAUUCAAUUUCGAUCUAAGGAGGGAUAUAGAUUGGCUUCCUUAGACCAGCCCGGCCCUUCCUCCCCUAGUGGGCCUGGCUCUGGUGCAUCUUCCCGAUUUCCCAUACUCUAUAGAUUGCACAGAAGUGAUGCCAUUAAAUCCAUCCUUAGAUCUGGGAGUGGGGAAUGAACGUUUGGGAGGGCUCCCACCGUCUUUGGUUUACUUCGGAGUGACAGGUCUGGAAGACAUGGGGACCUUAAGUCGGGGGUCUAUAGGAUUCCCCUACAAAACUUGG